ensembl:lncRNA
AUGCUGAGAGGAUUGAUAAGUUUCAGUGUCUUAAUGAUUGUCACUGAAGGAGCAUCAGUGAAAGUUCAUCCAGGAGGAAACACAACACUCCCCUGUAGCAUUAAAGAUGAUAAAGAGAUUACCUGGAUCAUUAUAAAUGGAAACCAAACAUUUGUCAGAAUUCUGAGACUAGAAUAUGUUUAUGGUCCACAAUCUAAACCAGAGCCCUCCUAUAUUCACCCCAGUUAUGCAGGUCGGAUAAGAGCUCUCAGUUCAUCCACGAACACUCACUCUCUGCUUCUGAUGAACAUCACUGACACUGAUCUCAUGCUCUUCUGCUGCACUGACUAUAAGAUUGAGCAAACUCACUGCACAAAACUGGAUUAUGAAGAGCAGCAGAAUACAGAAGAGAUAGAGGAUACAAAAACUAUUGGUAUUGGUAAUUAUAUCAGUACCACAGUAUGGCUGCCUGUGGUCUGUGUACUUCUAUUACUCUCACUGAUGUCAAAUGUGUGUAUGUGCUGGAGAAUAAAAAGACAAAAAAAAGAAAACUUAAAGGAAUCAAAGACAUUAUAUAAACAGAAUGAGCAGGAGAAUGAAGCUGAUGGAAUUUCAUAUGCAUCUGUUAAUAUAAAUAAAAUGCAAAGAAACAGAGGACAACAUCAUCUCACACAGGACACAGUAUAUGCACGCAUUAAGUGAAAAGAAAUGCAUUUCCAAAAUCUAGAAUGUCUGCCUUUAUUUUGUAUAACAUAAAUAAAAACUGCAUAAAUUUAAUGACA